UGAGUUCAUUCUUAAAGUUGUUUGAUUCUGUGAUAGCUCUUAUUUUUCUUGUUGAUUAUGUAAGAUAUCACCUCAUAAUCUCAGGAAUGUAAUUUUUUGGUUAAAGUUUUCAAAUAUCCCGCAGUUAAGGCAGACCUUGAACGCCUCAUGUCCGGUUGUCCCUGUAUUGCGUGAUUGACAGGCAUCACGAGCGUAUCGCCAAUCAUUGUCAAGUUUGGGUGAGGAGUGGGACCUGUCAGUUUUUGGGAAGGCGGGGUUUUCAUCUCGGUGAGAGAAGCGGUGAUUGACAGAGCGGAAAAAUGCCGGCCAGCGAUGCCGAGAGAAGGCGAAAUAAUAGUGUGAAAGUUUGUUCUUUCGUUGUUAAGUGUUAAAUGAAGACCCGACAGGAUUGAGGCUCGGUGUGUUGGAUCGGGGCGGUUGUUUCGAGACGUGCGGGUGAGUGUUGUUGGUGGAUUCGUAAAUGUGCUAUAUGCUAAAUUGUUAGCUGACUAGCAUCGACUGUGCAGGAGCAGAGGAAGACUGGAGUCAGGAUGCAUGUGCGAGGUCGGGUGUUAAUUUCAAGUUCCUGAGUGAGUAUCAGACUGCUUAUUGUUACCUCAGGCACGUUGUGAGUGAGUACGUGUAUGUGAAGUUUUGUUUUUUUUGUGCUGUCAGUGUGCUUCGGAUACUGACCACUCGUGCUGCGACAGUAGAGGUGCUCCGGACUUGCCGCGCCAGGGACUUCGGCAUGCGGACCGACUUUCUCCUUCUUCCAUUCUGUGCUUCAGUGAUGGUUAUAACAACACACUAAAUUUGCAAGUGACCGUGAG